rnacentral:lncRNA from 1 species
UGAUGAUUGUAGUGGGAGAAAUAUUUAAAAAUUUUGAUUAAACAUUGAGAUUAUGUAUAAAAGGAUCGUAAGAGAUUAUGACAUAUGGAGUUUAAAAUAUUAUGGAUAAUCUAUAGAUCAUGAUAUGAUUAGUUAGAUCUUGAUCGAAAGUAAUCACAAAAGGAUUGACAUAAAAUUUUAUUGUGUAUUAUGGUUAUUAAUUUGAUCAUUGGUUAUUCAAGUGAAUCAUAAGUUCAAAUUCGAUGUGAGAAUAAUACUAUGAUAUUACUUCUAGUUGAGAAGUUGACUAUUAUUGGCAAGAUAAAGAUUUGAUGAUAAAAUAUUAUUCCAG